CAGGACGAUCUUCUGAACUGCGAAGAUGCAUUGACUGAAAGUUAAGUGGGAACAACUGGACAAAAUCAGAAUAUGGAAGAUUUUUCCAGCUGAGAAACAAGUGGAAGAGAACAAGAUUGGAAGCACCCAGCUUGAGCUGCAGUAAACUGGUUCUGUGGCAGAACUGAGGGUCUGAGCUUCUCUCUCAGGUUGGAGGUGAAGACUGGAUCCAGCUGCACCUAGGCUCUGCCCUGAGAAGAAGCUGAGAAACCAAAGAGGUCCUGUCUGAAGCUCACAACUCAAAAGGAGGGACUUUUGGGACUCCUCACCUGGUGGCAUCUGCAUUGGAGGAGGAGUUUUUUUGUUGCUGAGAGUUUCCUCUCAUGCUUGUGUCGCAUCCUUUGUGUUUGUGUGUUGUGUCUCUGUGCUGUUGAGUUGGAGCUGCUCUCUCUGGAGGCUGUAGCAGCUGUGGGGUUGGGAGAAGACUAGCAAGGAGAGCCUGUGGUUUGUGUUGCUGUGCUGUCUGUGCCUGUUGGGGUGCAGAUGGAGCAUUUGAAGUAAAGUAGCAGCCCUCAGCAGGGGAGGGUGGUCAUUUUCCUAGUGUUUUUGAGAGGGGGUGGCUGGAGCCACCUGGGAGAGGCUGCUGGAGCCAUAGCCAAGCAGGUUGGGUGCCCAGGUUGUUAAGGCCUGAAUGUGGGGCGUAAUGUUAACUUGUUUUUUAGCUUCCCUGUAGGUAGUUAGGAUCCAAAAGAUGUUCCUAAAUGGGAAUCUCUGGAAUUGCAUCCAGCUGAUUGCUUGUUACUGCUUUUUCAGAUGCAGGGAGAGGAGCCACACACCAGAGGGUGAUGGAGGAGAGGAGCAGAGUGUGGUGAGGAGCUGGGUCGGUGCGUAUUGAAGAGCCUGGGUGAGUUGUCCCCUGGGUUGUGAGGGAAGGUGUGAGUGGUGCCUCUAUCGACUGGCUCAUGGUUUGGGUUUGUUUUGUAGGUGCAAAGCACCGAGGGAAGCGGGAGAUCUGCACUGGAGGUGACUCGAGCAAGGCAGCACACAGGGCUGGACGUGGCAACCUGUGACCAUCAGAGGCCGGACAGGUGAGCCACGAAGUUUUGCAGCCUUGGAGCAGUGGAGCAGCAUGCCAACGGGCCAUCUGUGAAGGUGACACAGGCGUCAGCCA